UUACAAAUUUUGAACAGAUGGUUCAUAUUUACAAGGAUAUAUUCUCUGAUAUAUAUAUAUAUGUACAGUAUUAAUGAUAAAUUUUGAUGUUCGAGUGAACUAUCCAAAGAAAAUCGUCUCGAACUGGAGGUCCUUUAAGUUCGACAGCAGUGGCCGGAACCGUACGGACCCACACGGCGACUCUAUGCUCUAAACUAAUAAAAAGAGCUUUAAGUCGGACGUUGUGAGAAUAAUCAACCGGGUCUUCUGCAGGGAUCAAUACCUGUGCAAAGGUGUUGGAUGAUCCCGGUCGACGCACGCCAUAUUGAAGCUGGACAUUGGCCCACUUCGUUCCGCAAUUCUUGACGUAGCCUUGCAAAUCCAAGCGGUAACCUCCAGAAUUGAAAAUAGUGCCAGCAUGUCCAUCGAUGGAGUGUGUUGGACGGAAGGCUUCUGUAAUAACUUGUUUGGCAAUUUUGAUCUCCUUGAGGCUAAGUUGAUACAAGUUGUCACCUCGAUCUUCGGUAACGAAGAACGUGAUGGUCGCGUCUUCACGGCGAACCUCGUAAACCAAUUUCUUUGCAGGAGCGUCUUUGUUUUUCCCAUGCUUCUUGGCAUUCGGCUGACUGUUGUUGUAAACAAAGUCACGAAACUGUUGCAGACUCGGGUCAAGAACCUCCACGGCAGUUUGUUUCGUCUUCAUGUUGAUAAACGUUAGUAAUAAACGUGCAGUCUCGAUGCACUUCUAUUGUGUGAAGGAUUUGAUGUUUUCAUCACGAAAAGAUGUAGUAUUGCCAUCACGCGCAGGAUUAUCACGAAAUUGGCAAAUAACAGACGGCCGUCUGUCGAGAGAUUCCCUUUGUUAAACGGAAUUUGAUGGGCUUUGAAUUGACAUUUUAGCAUUUUUCAGAUCGAUUUUACCUUUCUACAGUUUAAACGCGUAUUAUUCAACCGGUUUUUCAUUUUUAAAGAAAAUAGUUAUAGGUCAAUAUUCACAUCAAGUCCGUUGCGGAGGUAACGAUGUCUUACCAUUGUCUGAGGUUUGCGUGGAACAUUUCACCGGCACGACGUUAAUCAUUUGAUGUCUUGGCAGUAUAUUUUUUAAAUCUUUUUUUUUUUUUUUGAACGUCUGGACAACAUAACAUAAAUAAUUUCUCGAUCAUCGGUUGGGUUUACUUUCUCACUCCUUGCAAAUAGUGUUAUUUUAAUAUUUUUUUCCCCUCUAUUAUU